AAGGAUAAUAAAUAAAAAUCAUCAUCUUCAGUUUUGAAAGACUUAAAUUGUUAAGUUUUUCUUUUUUUAAGCGCCAAAGGGCCUAUAGCUCAGUUGGUUAGAGCACACGCCUGAUAAGCGUGAGGUCGGUGGUUCAAGUCCAUUUAGGCCCACCAUGAUUAAAAACAGGUCCUGCUUAAAAGAAAGUUCUUUGAAAAGUAGAUAAAUAUAACUCUAUAAUUCUUAAUAAAAUU
rnacentral:misc_RNA from 1 species